rnacentral:rRNA from 1 species
GAUGAACGCUAGCGGCAGGCCUAACACAUGCAAGUCGAACGGUAACAGGGAAAAGCUUGCUUUUCCGCUGACGAGUGGCGCACGGGUGCGCAACGCGUAUAGAACCUACCCUGUACAGGGGGAUAGCCCGGAGAAAUUCGGAUUAAUACCCCGUAGUAAUGAUUACUGGCAUCGGUAAUCAUUUAAAGUUUCGGCGGUACAGGAUGGCUAUGCGUCCUAUUAGCUAGAUGGCGAGGUAACGGCUCACCAUGGCUAUGAUAGGUAGGGGCCCUGAGAGGGGGAUC